rnacentral:tRNA from 1 species
GCACCCGUAGUCUAAUCGGAUAAAACGGAGGCCUCCGACGCCUUUGACGCAGGUUCGAAUCCUGUCGGGUGCA